rnacentral:rRNA from 1 species
UACGUAGGGUGCAAGCGUUGUCCGGAAUUACUGGGCGUAAAGCGCGUGCAGGCGGCUAAGUAAGUCGGGCGUGAAAUCCCACGGCUCAACCGUGGAAAGUGCACUCGAAACUGCAUAGCUAGAGUCCUGGAGAGGAAGGUGGAAUGCUUGGUGUAGAGGUGAAAUUCGUAGAUAUCAAGCGGAACACCGGUGGCGAAGGCGGCCUUCUGGACAGUGACUGACGCUGAGACGCGAAAGCGUGGGGAGCAAACAGG